rnacentral:rRNA from 1 species
AUGGAGAGUUUGAUCCUGGCUCAGGACGAACGCUGGCGGCGUGCUUAACACAUGCAAGUCGAACGAGAGUUUUUAACUCUAGUGGCGAACGGGUGCGUAAUACGUGAGAAUCUGCCCUUAGGAGGGGAAUAACUAUUGGAAACGGUAGCUAAAUCCCCAUAUGCCGAGAGGUGAAAUAGUUUACGCUGCCUAAGGAUGAGCUCACGCCUGAUUAGCUUGUUGGUGAGGUAACGGCUCACCAAGGCCACGAUCAGUAGCUGGUUUGAGAGAACGAUCAGCCACACUGGGACUGAGACACGGCCCAGACUCCUACGGGAGGCAGCAGUGAGGAAUCUUGCGCAAUGGGCGAAAGCCUGACGCAGCCACGCCGCGUGCCGGAAGACGGCCCUAUGGGUUGUAAACGGCUUUUGCCAGGGAAGAACGAGGGGGUUUCGACCUCCUGUGACGGUACCUGGUGAAUAAGCACCGGCUAACUCCGUGCCAG